rnacentral:rRNA from 1 species
GGGGAGCAAACAGGAUUAGAUACCCUGGUAGUCCACGCCCUNAACGAUGUCUACUAGUUGUCGGGUCUUAAUUGACUUGGUAACGCAGCUAACGCGUGAAGUAGACCGCCUGGGGAGUACGGUCGCAAGAUUAAAACUCAAAGGAAUUGACGGGGACCCGCACAAGCGGUGGAUGAUGUGGAUUAAUUCGAUGCAACGCGAAAAACCUUACCUACCCUUGACAUGUACAGAAUCCCGAAGAGAUUUGGGAGUGUUCGAAAGAAAACUGUAACACAGGUGCUGCAUGGCUGUCGUCAGCUCGUGUCGUGAGAUGUUGGGUUAAGUCCCGCAACGAGCGCAACCCUUGUCAUUAGUUGCUACGAAAGGGCACUCUAAUGAGACUGCCGGUGACAAACCGGAGGAAGGUGGGGAUGACGUCAAGUCCUCAUGGCCCUUAUGGGUAGGGCUUCACACGUCAUACAAUGGUACAUACAGAGGGCCGCCAACCCGNCGAGGGGGAGCUAAUCCCAGAAAGUGUAUCGUAGUCCGGAUUGUAGUCUGCAACUCGACUACAUGAAG